AGCGAACGCAGGCGGCAGGCCUAACACAUGCAAGUCGAGCGCCUAGCAAUGGGAGCGGCAGACGGGUGCGUAACGCGUGGGGAUCUGCCCAAUGGUACGGAAUAACCCAGGGAAACUUGGAUUAAUACCGUAUGUGCCCUUCGUGGGAAAGAUUUAUCGCCAUAGGAUGAACCCGCGUCGGAUUAGCUAGUUGGUGUGGUAAAGGCGCACCAAGGCGACGAUCCGUAGCUGGUCUGAGAGUAUGAUCAGCCACACUGGGACUGAGACACGGCCCAGACUCCUACGGGAGGCAGCAGUGGGGAAUAUUGUACAAUGGGCGCAAGCCUGAUCCAGCCAUGCCGCGUGUGUGAUGAAGGCCUUAGGGUUGUAAAGCACUUUCGCCGGUGAAGAUAAUGACGGUAACCGGAGAAGAAGCCCCGGCUAACUUCGUGCCAGCCGCCGCAGUAAAAC
rnacentral:rRNA from 1 species